rnacentral:rRNA from 1 species
UAGGGAAUCUUCCACAAUGGACGCAAGUCUGAUGGAGCAAUGCCGCGUGAGUGAAGAAGGAUUUCGGUUCGUAAAACUCUGUUGCGAGGGAAGAACAAGUACGAAGUAACUACUCGUACCUUGACGGUACCUCGUUAGAAAGCCACGGCUAACUACGUGCCAGCAGCCGCGGUAAUACGUAGGUGGCAAGCGUUGUCCGGAAUUAUUGGGCGUAAAGCGCGCGCAGGCGGCCUUUUAAGUCUGAUGUGAAAGCCCACGGCUCAACCGUGGAAGGUCAUUGGAAACUGGGAGGCUUGAGUAUAGGAGAGGAAAGUGGAAUUCCACGUGUAGCGGUGAAAUGCGUAGAGAUGUGGAGGAACACCAGUGGCGAAGGCGACUUUCUGGCCUAUUACUGACGCUGAGGCGCGAAAGCGUGGGGAGCAAACAGG